CCUCACCGGUGACCUCCCAUCUCUCGAUUCUGAGCACCGUUACUUGAAGGAAAAACACCGGGAGUUGGAGAAUCACUUCGCGAACUCACCUAGACGGUCUACUCGAACCGAGAAACAAGCAGGCCUCGGUUUCGUGGCAAGGAAGGAGAGCUCGCCUCAUUGAGAUCCAAAGCGCAAGAAAGCAGCGGCUUGGGCAUGGUUUGGCAAACUAGAAGCAAAGAGGGGGUCGCGGGGGUUGAUUUGGGAGCUUUAUAGGUCUCGGUUCGCUUCCUUGGCAAGGAAAUCCCGAGAUUUCGGGAUUGAGAUACGGUGUGGCUGUGCCCAGCUCGGUUACGAACAGAGGAAGUAGACGGCUGACACGUGGGCCCAAGGUGGCAGAGAGAGAGGGAAAAGGGAGAAGAGGGAGCCGGAUGGCUGACGCGUGGGGCCGAACUGUCAGCCAGAGAGAGAGGGAAUGCGCGCGCGGCUUGGCCUCUGGGUUGUUCCCAGGCCGCGAGAGGAGAUGGGCCGCGCUAGAGGGGGAAGAGAAAGGAGAGAUGGGAGCUGGGCCAGGGAAAGGGAUUGGGCCCAGGGGUUGGCUGGGGUUUUCUUUUCUUUUUUUUUUCUUUUAUUUUCCAAAGCAUUUUCACAAGUGAAUUUGAAUCCUUUUACAAUAAUUAGACCAGAACACAUAGCACAAAAAUAAUUAUGCUCCGGCAUGAAUGCACAAACAAGUUUCUCAUCUUAUUAUAAAUUUUAAUUUUGACCAAAAAUUUUUUAAGUGCUAAAUUUAAAUGUGCACAAAAAUGCUUAAUUAAUUCAAAUUAAUCCGUAAUAAUUUAAAACAGAAUUUUGGGUGUUACAAAUUCUACCCCCUUAAAAGAAUCUCGUCCUCGAGAUUGAGCAGUGCAUAAACAAACAGUUGUGGAUAUGAUUCUCUCCAAUCAUCCUCUCUUUCCCAAGUUGCUUCUACUUCUAAAAACCGAUUCCAUUGCACUAGCAAAUUCAUGUCUCUAGUCAAGUAACAUACCCAGUAACUUAUCUGAAAAUUUAUUCCCUACACAGUCCUGAAGAUCAACACCAUCAUCCAGAAUAUUCACUGUAGCUGUGGGUGGAGACUGCACUGCUACAUCCACACUGAUUCUCUCUCCAUUGGGUGUUGUCACAACUACUACUUUCUCUUUGCACUUAAUUUCCGUAGCAUAUUUCUUCAUCCAAUCCAAACCCAGUAUCACAUCUAUGGCUGAGGUUCUCAUAACCAUGGGACUAACCUGGAAAUCUACCCCCCUUAAAACAAAUAUGAAACUGGUAUAGUCCCUCCCGGUGAGUUUACUAGCAUAUGAGUUUUCAUGGCAACUAGUGGAAUGCUAUGAACUCUAACAAAUGCUUGUGAUAUGAAUGUAUGCAAAGCUCCAGAAUCGAAUAAAACUGUAGCGGGAAUAGAGUUGAUACUGAACGUACGCAUCAUGAUUUCUGGUCCCUCCGGAACUGUCGCUGCAGCCACAUGGUUCACCUUUUCUCUAUGAGAAUUAGACUUUUGAUUGUUGUUCUGCUGGUUGAAUCUCUCCGGGCAAUCAUAUGACAUAUGUCCUUCUUUUCCACAGCGAAAACACCUAGUAGGGGCAUUGGGAGCACUUCUCUUCAUAGAGGUGGCAUUUGAAUUUCCUGAGCGGGGAAUCUGCUGACCGUCUACUGCUGAUUAGGAUUACGCUGAGGUUGUUGGUUGCGAUCCCAUGGACCAACCGGUCCUUGGUACCUCUGUUGAUCGCCCUACUGAGAAUUGAAACGUUGGCGGUUGUUGCCUCCAGACCCUUGUGCUAGCAUCCUCCUCUUCUUAUCCUGACCUUUGCGCAUGUUAUCCAACACAAUGGCACGGUUCACCAGAGCCUGG
rnacentral:lncRNA from 1 species